AAAUUGAAGAGUUUGAUCAUGGCUCAGAUUGAACGCUGGCGGCAGGCCUAACACAUGCAAGUCGAACGGUAGCACAGAGAGCUUGCUCUCGGGUGACGAGUGGCGGACGGGUGAGUAAUGUCUGGGAAACUGCCUGAUGGAGGGGGAUAACUACUGGAAACGGUGGCUAAUACCGCAUAACGUCGCAAGACCAAAGAGGGGGACCUUCGGGCCUCUUGCCAUCAGAUGUGCCCAGAUGGGAUUAGCUUGUUGGUGAGGUAACGGCUCACCAAGGCGACGAUCCCUAGCUGGUCUGAGAGGAUGACCAGCCACACUGGAACUGAGACACGGUCCAGACUCCUACGGGAGGCAGCAGUGGGGAAUAUUGCACAAUGGGCGCAAGCCUGAUGCAGCCAUGCCGCGUGUAUGAAGAAGGCCUUCGGGUUGUAAAGUACUUUCAGCGGGGAGGAAGGUGUUGUGGUUAAUAACCGCAGCAAUUGACGUUACCCGCAGAAGAAGCACCGGCUAACUCCGUGCCAGCAGCCGC
rnacentral:rRNA from 1 species